rnacentral:sRNA from 1 species
CACCAUGCCCAGCUAAUUUUUUGUAUUUUUAGUAGAGAUAGGGUUUCACCAUGUUAGCCAAGAUGGUCUCGACCUCCUGACCUCGUGAUCCGCCCAUCUCGGCUUCCCAAAGUUGGAGUUGUUCUUAAACUGUUUUUACUCUUCCCUGCAGACACCAUCAUCCGAGCAGUAUUGAUUUUUGCAGAGGGAAUUUUUACAGGUGAAAGCCACGUGGUACAUCCCAGCAUUCACAACCUCUCCAGUUCCAUCUGCAUCCCUAUUGUGCCUCCCAAAGAUGUCCCUGUGGAUCUGCACUUGAAGGCAUUCGUGGGUUACAGAAGCAGCACCCAGUUUCAUGUAUUUGAAUUGACAAGACAGCUCCCUCGAUUCUCCAUGUAUGCGCUGACCAGCCUGGACCCUGCCAGUGAGCCAAUCAGUUAUGUUAACUUUACCAUUGCAGAACGGG